GCUGAUCUAGUCAUUGUCCUCUGGAGAUUGGGGUCUGUUUGGGGCAGACCGGCAAUAUGACUCAGAGGAGCCGGAGAUCACUGGAAAGCUGGGUUCUCCUCUAUGGUUCACACCUCACACCCUAGGAGUCGCCCUGUUACAGCGACCAUCUGGAUGUGUCACAGAGCAGAGCGGAGCAUGAAAGAGGACUUGUUUCAGAUCCAGUUACGGUCAUGAAGGAGUCCCAUAACACGUACGAAUCCUGAAUCGAUUCACAAGACUGACACUCAAACACCAGUGAGUCUUGUUGUAUCUUUUGAGUUGUGGUUCGGACCUUGGUAAGUAGAUAGACUAAUGUGAAUUAAGCAGGUCUUUACACACACUCAAACAUUUGAGUGUGCGUUUGAUCCACAGUUUUCCUUCGGAGUAAGAGGUUUGAAAUAUCUAAAAGAUUAAAAAGGCUUUGUUUGAGUUAACAGAAUGAGGCCGCUUUCUGUUUCCAGGGUUCAGAGACAACAUAUGGGCUGAAAAAUAUAUUUAUUGUGUAAAACCAUUUUGAACUAUUGAAACAAAGUAAAACGUUGUCGAUUAGAAACCGGAAACCAACAAACAAAAAAGGCUGCUUAACUAACAACUGAAUGUAAACUCAGAAUCGCGGUCUUUUCACGGUGCGCCGGGGAACAAUCCCGCACAGUAAAAUGAGCAAUACGUAUUCAUUACCAUGCCAACAAAGUGAUCGUUAACACUUCUCCAUGUAUACCGCUCAUCAACACAGUGUUUUCGGAGCCCAUUUUCUGUCCUCAGACACACUAAUAACUGAAUGAAUACCUAAUGCAUCUUUAGCACACGUUAGUGAAACGUUUCCGCUGGCUUCCCAGGGCCCACCUCGUCCCCCUGCUGGGACCCGCCCCGGCCCGCGAGCCGCAGGUUGAGACCCGCUGCGUGGUAAGACGGCUAUGAGUAGCUCGGCAGCCCGUCCCCGGGGCCCGUCUCGUGAGCGGCGGACUCCGCUGCUCUUAGAAGUGAUCCAUGAAUCAUCUGCUUUCAGACGGUCGCAGAGUGGGGGCCGGGGGUGGGGGGGGGGGGUGAGCACACAUGACUCACCGCUCCCUGCCGCGCUACCACUACCCCUCAGAGGACAUGGCAACACACCCCCCGGUCCGGACCCGGGCCCCGUAUAGGCCACCACCCUGACCCGGACCACGUGAGGACCACCAGCCCUCGGCCCUGAUCCGGGACCAAGCUAAGCACACCCCGGAGCCGCUGAGUGUCUGACGGACCGCCGGCCCUGGUGCCCCUGGUGCCAUGGACCGGAGGCCCCAGAGGGGGGCGCCCUGCCUGGGCCUCUUUAUCCCCAGGUGUGAGGCAGAGUGGAGCCCAUCACACGGGGCCUCACAGCAGGAUCCAGUCACACUGUCUGUCUGUCUGUCUGUCUGUCUGCCUGUCUGCCUGCCUGCCUGCCUGCCUGCCUGCCUGCCUGCCUGUCUGCCUGUCUGCCUGUCUGCCUGCGUGUGUGAUGGAGGUCCUCUUUCCACACAGGCCAAUCUGAAAGAAUAACAACUAAUCAUAACCAAUCACGUGCAGCGCAGAGGAGGGGCCAAAGAUUGAGGGGAGGGCCAAUCACAGCAGCCUCAUGAACGGGGGGCCUACGGUGUGAUGUGCUAAGUCAGACCAUGAGUCUAGACCAGAGCUUCCUAGAGAUCUUCUGUACAGAACUAGAAACCAACAGGCCGUCAGAGUCUUAGCUGGAUCCUGUUAGAGCUCUACCCGACCACCAUGGCGACCGGCCCCUACCACAGACCACCAGACCCCGUCAGCUGUCAUCCAAUCAGAACCAGACCCGGUCAGCUGUCAUCCCAUCAGAACCAGACCCGGUCAACUUUCAUCCAAUCAGAACCAGACCCGGCCAACUGUCCUCCAAUCGGAGCCAGACCCGACCAAACCACAGGCCAGGAGGUUGUGGGGUCAACGCUGCUGUCAGAAGACGAGCGUCCUGUGUUGACGCUAACUCUUCGGCUCAGACGGGCAUCACAACAGACUGGUUGGGAAAGGGGUUGGUAAAGUUCCGGAAAGUUAUUUUGACCAAAUGACCAGGAUUUGACCAAAUGACCCCCUCGAAGGGGUUCCCCCACCUGUUUAUAAAUAGACCAGAAUGGUUCUGAAUAGAGAAGUGGGCAGAUGUGACAUCCUGUCUGAUAUCAGCCUUACACAAAACUAACCCCGUCCAUGUCAAAUGUUCCCAUGACGAUUUCCACAACUUGGUCAACAUCAUCUCAGCACUAUCGCCUUAUUACACUUUAAUUAACAUUUUUGAUCAAUAGGAUGUCGUUUUAAAACUAAGAAAGUAUAAGAAACAGUUCCUGAUAAUGCAACAUUCAGUUGUAAACCGCACACACACACACACGCACACGCACACGCACACACACACACACACACACACACACACACACACACACACACACACACACAAACACACACACACACACAAAUACGCAGAUGAGUCAAAGCGAGCAGACAGCUACUUUGACCAAUUUGACUGAUUUGAUUUGGGGAUGUAACGAGGCAGGUCGUUACAAGUUAAUCCCAAAGUGCUUCAAACCUCAUUAUCACGACAGAAAUGCCCAACAGGUCGGCAUCAUCUCUAAAAGGAAAGGACUCACCCAUCUACACAAAACGAUCCCACGAGUCAACUUUGGAGACAAAGAUCCCCGUCCUCCACCGUACCCCACCGGGUCCACCCAACCGGGACUGGGAGAGACCUGGGGCUGUGGUCCCGGGUCCCGUGGCCGGGGGAGACCAUGUACCUGGGCUGUGGUCCCGGGUCCCUGGGCUGGCGAACCGGCCCGGGACGAGGAGCACAUGUCGCCCAUUGUGUCCCACACCCCCAUCCCCAUCCUGUGAUCAGAGAUGAGACCGGAGACGCACUUCCUGGCAGACGCGUGGUUACUCAACAACAAAAGGAGCGACCCGACUCGUCUGGGGAUCAGAAAGAGGAGGACUAGGGCUCGGAUCCCCGCCGGGACUGACGCCCGGCACCACCUGGAACACCUCGCUCCCAAACGCGCCCUCCAAGCGGACCAUAACAGCCCAUCUCUGGUCUUUCUGGACAGUUUUACUGUGGAAGUUGGCGGUGAGGGCCAGGAAAGCACUUACAGAUGUGAGGAGGAGAGGGCGCAUCUGCUCGCAGGCCUCCUCCGCCAUGUCCGGGCUGGUGUCCGGGCUGGUGUCCGAGCUGACCCCGGGACGCCUCUCUCUGGAGUCGGUAUCCUGAAGGAGCGUGAAACCGCUCGACGUGUCAGCUCUCCGGUCCGCUCCUACCUCCUCAUGAAGCCCCGCUCUGAGUGGAAUCGCGG
ensembl:lncRNA